rnacentral:rRNA from 1 species
AUUGAACGCUGGCGGCAGGCCUAACACAUGCAAGUCGAGCGGCUAAAGGGAGCUUGCUCCUGGCUUCAGCGGCGGACGGGUGAGUAAUGCCUAGGAAUCUGCCUGGUAGUGGGGGAUAACGUCCGGAAACGGGCGCUAAUACCGCAUACGUCCUGAGGGAGAAAGUGGGGGAUCUUCGGACCUCACGCUAUCAGAUGAGCCUAGGUCGGAUUAGCUAGUUGGUGGGGUAAAGGCCUACCAAGGCGACGAUCCGUAACUGGUCUGAGAGGAUGAUCAGUCACACUGGAACUGAGACACGGACCAGACUCCUACGGGAGGCAGCAGUGGGGAAUAUUGGACAAUGGGCGAAAGCCUGAUCCAGCCAUGCCGCGUGUGUGAAGAAGGUCUUCGGAUUGUAAAGCACUUUAAGUUGGGAGGAAGGGCAGUAAGUUAAUACCUUGCUGUUUUGACGUUACCAACAGAAUAAGCACCGGCUAACUUCGUG